AUUGAACGCUGGCGGCAGGCCUAACACAUGCAAGUCGAGCGGAUGAAGGGAGCUUGCUCCUGGAUUCAGCGGCGGACGGGUGAGUAAUGCCUAGGAAUCUGCCUGGUAGUGGGGGAUAACGUCCGGAAACGGGCGCUAAUACCGCAUACGUCCUGAGGGAGAAAGUGGGGGAUCUUCGGACCUCACGCUAUCAGAUGAGCCUAGGUCGGAUUAGCUAGUUGGUGGGGUAAAGGCCUACCAAGGCGACGAUCCGUAACUGGUCUGAGAGGAUGAUCAGGCACACUGGAACUGAGACACGGUCCUGACUCCUACGGGAGGCGGCAGUGGGGAAUAUUGGACAAUGGGCGAAAGCCUGAUCCAGGCAUGCCGCGUGUGUGAAGAAGGUCUUCGGAUUGUAAAGCACUUUAAGUUGGGAGGAAGGGCGGUAAGUUAAUACCUUGCUGUUUUGACGUUACCAACAGAAUAAGCACCGGCUAACUUCGUG
rnacentral:rRNA from 1 species